rnacentral:rRNA from 1 species
GACGAACGCUGGCGGCGUGCUUAACACAUGCAAGUCGAACGAAGUGGCGAACGGGUGAGUAAUACGUGAGUAACCUGCCCUCCUUUUUGGGAUAAGCCUUGGAAACGGGGUCUAAUACCGAAUAAAGGGGGAUGGGCUCGCGGCCUAUCAGCUUGUUGGGUGGGUGAUGGCCUACCAAGGCGGUGACGGGUAGCCGACCUGCGAGGGGGAACGGCAAAAGUGGGACUGAGAGACGGCCCAAAAGCCAACGGGAGGCAGCAGUGGGGAAUAUUGCACAAUGGGGGAAACCCUGAGGCAGAAACGCCGCGUGCGGGAUGACGGCCUUCGGGUGGUAAACAGCUUUCAGCCAUGACGCGGUAGUGGCAGAAGAAGCACCGGCUAACUACGUGCCAGCAGCCGCGGUAAUAC